rnacentral:snoRNA from 1 species
ACGCAUGCAAAGCUGACCGUAUGGGCUCGUCUCCUUUAAAAACUGAUGCAAUGAUAAAUGUAAUAAAAUGAUACACAUACCGCACCAGAACGGCAAUUUGAAUGGAUCACCAUUUACACGUGGUGCAAUGUGAGAUACCUGGAGACACUUAGAAAUAUUCUGGGGUAAGUUUACAAGAAAUACUAUUGUUUCAGCUUAUUUAACAACCCAUAAUGACUUUCUACCCAAUGCAUACAUCAUGUUGCAAAAUGGAUAAAAAAUUAGGUUAAAGGAAAGAUAACUGCAUAUUCACAUUUGUCAUUAACAAUAUAAAAUUGGCAUUUGGUUAAAGUUGGGUUAAAUAAGAUUUUAAAUUAUGGUAAAUUACAUGGUGAUACAUUAUAAAUGUGAAGAGCAUUCCACGUAAUUACUUAGUGCACAAGUUAAGUGUGCUUGACUAUUCCGUAUAUAUAGGCAAAGAAAUGAAAAUCUGCUGUUUCCCAAUUAUAAAAACUGUGGAAAAAAUAUGUUUUAUAAAUUUACAAGUGUAAUAUUUUUGUAUUUUUACAGGCAUUGAAAACAGCCGGGAGCCUGGGAUACAAUCUAAUCAUGCCUUGAUCUCCCUUAAAGGGUAAUGUAAUCCUCCGCACCAUUUGAGUACAAAUUAUUUUAAUUCCCAAAUUGAUGACAACUUCAUACCCAAAUCAGAGAAAUAAUGUUGAAAUCUUUUUAACAUGCAUCACCAUCUGAAUAAAAUAUUGAAACUUAGUUUAUGUAUAAUAGUAUUUGUAUAAUUAAACAGUCUUUGUGUAUUUUACAGAAAUAUUUCCAGAUAUUGGGAUUCCUAUUCAAAACUGAAAUUUGACUGAACCAGUGAUAAGGUAAAUCCUCACUAAAUUAAAUGUUUUCUUACUCCUUAAUUGAUGACAACUUCAUACUCAAAUCAGAGAAAUUAUGUUGAAAUCCUUUUAACAUGCAUCACCAUCUGAAUCAAGUACAUUUUAUCAAAUUUUAAGGCAAUAAGGGCCAAUUAAUAAUUUAUAUUCUCUCUUUUAUUUUGCAGGAAAUAUAAACUAAUGAUACUUUCACAAGAUUUACAACUGAUUCGGUUGGAAAAACCUAAAAGGUAUUGCCAAUGUAAAAUAUUAUUUAUUUAUUUAAACUGCCUUCUUGAUGACAACUUCAUACCCAACUCAGAAAAACUAUGUUGAAAUCUUUUUAACAUGCAUCACCAUCUGAUUAAAAAUAUGCAUAUUUAGUUAUGAUGAAUGAAAUAUAGAUUACUAAUAAAGGUUUUCUUUUUGACUUUUCAGGUAGUCUAGCCACGUGCUAAAUCGCAAUCUUUUAACAAAGUUUUUCUUUAUAUAUAAAAUAAAUUCUUUAUUUAUGUGUACAAAAUA